rnacentral:rRNA from 1 species
UACGUAGGGGGCAAGCGUUAUCCGGAUUCAUUGGGCGUAAAGCGUGCGUAGGCGGUUUAUUAAGUCUGAAAUAAAAUCCCGAGGCUUAACCUCGGUUCGUUUCAGAUACUGGUAGACUUGAGUAUGAUAGGGGCAAACGGAAUUCCUAGUGUAGCGGUGAAAUGCGUAGAUAUUAGGAGGAACAUCGGUGGCGAAGGCGGUUUGCUGGGUCAUUACUGACGCUGAGGUACGAAAGCGUGGGUAGCAAAUA